rnacentral:rRNA from 1 species
GACGAACGCUGGCGGCGUGCCUAACACAUGCAAGUCGAGCGAAGUGAGUACUACGGUACGAACUUAGCGGCGGACGGGUGAGUAACGCGUGGACAAUCUACCCUGUAGACUGGGAUAACACCUCGAACGGGGUGCUAAUACCGGAUAAUGUCGAGAAGCGGCAUCGCUUUUCGAAGAAAGGAGAGAAUCCGCUAUAGGAGGAGUCCGCGUCCCAUUAGCUAGUUGGUGAGGGUAACGGCCCACCAAGGCGACGAUGGGUAGCCGGCCUGAGAGGGUGAACGGCCACACUGGAACUGAGACACGGUCCAGACUCCUACGGGAGGCAGCAGUGGGGAAUAUUGUGCAAUGGGGGAAACCCUGACACAGCAACGCCGCGUGAGCGAAGAAGGCCUUCGGGUUGUAAAGCUCAAUAGUAUGGGAAGAUAAUGACGGUACCAUACGAAAGCCCCGGCUAACUACGUGCCAGCCGCCGCGGUAAGAC